rnacentral:rRNA from 1 species
UGAAGAGGGAAAAGCCCAAAUUUGUAAUCUGGCUCUUUUACAAGGGUCCGAGUUGUAAUUUUGAGAACUGUUUUCUGUGUUGGACCAUGUACAAGUCUGUUGGAAAACAGCAUCAUUGAGGGUGAUAAUCCCGUACAUGAUAUGGACUACCAGUGCAAUAUGAUACAGUCUCUAAGAGUCGAGUUGUUUGGGAAUGCAGCUCAAAGUGGGUGGUAAAUUCCAUCUAAGGCUAAAUAUAGGUGAGAGACCGAUAGCAAACAAGUACCGUGAGGGAAAGAUGAAAAGAACUUUGGAAAGAGAGUUAACAGUACGUGAAAUUGUUAAAAGGGAAACAUUUGAAGUUAGACUUGUUAUUAUUGGUUCAGCUUCUUUUUUUAAUUAGGAGUCUAUUCCAAUGGUUGACAGACCAGCAUCAAUUUUUGAGUGUUAGAUAAGGGUCUUGAGAAUGUGGCAACUUUGGUUGUGUUAUAGCUCUUGGCUUGAUAUAAUGCUUAGGAUUGAGGAACGCAGUGAGC